CGAAAGUCAGAGGUUCGAAGGCGAUCAGAUACCGCCCUAGUUCUGACCGUAAACGAUGCCACCUGACGAUCCGCCAGGGUUACUACCAUGACUCGGCGGGCAGCCCCCGGGAAACCCAAGCCUUCGGGUUCCGGGGGAAGUAUGGUUGCAAAGCUGAAACUUAAAGGAAUUGACGGAAGGGCACCACCAGGAGUGGAGCCUGCGGCUUAAUUUGACUCAACACGGGGAACCUCACCCGGCCCGGACACCGCGAGGAUUGACAGAUUGAGAGCUCUUUCUCGAUUCGGUGGGUGGUGGUGCAUGGCCGUUCUUAGUUGGUGGAGCGAUUUGUCUGGUUAAUUCCGAUAACGAACGAGACUCUAGCCGGUUAAGUAGCCCGGAGCGGUUUUUGAUCUUUGCCGUCCGUCCUUUGUUUUUUCCCUUUUUCCCGUCCUCGGCCGACCGGUUCGGCGGGUACGAGGGAAGGCGGGGGCGGAGGGGUCAUCCGCAGGCCGUCCGCGGUCUGCGGGGAAACCUUUUCGUCACUUUACCUUCUCGCCGUCUUUGCCGUUUCCCGAGCGGUCGAGACGGAAGGGGAGCUUAGGCGGAAGCAUAACCGAAGGCCGCCGGCUUUUACAGGAAGCUUCUUAGAGGGACGAGCGGCGUUCAGCCGCCCGAGAUUGA
rnacentral:rRNA from 1 species